ACGGAAGGCAGCAGUGGGGAAUAUUGCACAAUGGGCGAAAGCCUGAUGCAGCGACGCCGCGUGAGUGAAGAAGUAUCUCGGUAUGUAAAGCUCUAUCAGCAGGGAAGAAAAUGACGGUACCUGACUAAGAAGCCCCGGCUAACUACGUGCCAGCAGCCGCGGUAAUACGUAGGGGGCAAGCGUUAUCCGGAUUUACUGGGUGUAAAGGGAGCGUAGACGGUUUGGCAAGUCUGAAGUGAAAUGCGGGGGCUCAACUCCUGAACUGCUUUGGAAACUGUCGAACUAGAGUGCAGGAGAGGUAAGUGGAAUUCCUAGUGUAGCGGUGAAAUGCGUAGAUAUUAGGAGGAACACCAGUGGCGGAGGCGGCUUACUGGACUGUAACUGACGUUGAGGCUCGAAAGCGUGGGGAGCAAACAGGAUUAGAUACCCUGGUA
rnacentral:rRNA from 1 species